ACGGGGUGCAGCAGGCGCGAAAACUUGUCAAUGCACGAAAGUGUGAACGGGCUACCCCGAGUGCCGUCCGCCGAGGAUGGCUUUUCUCUGCUGUAAGAAGGCGGAGGAAUAAGGAGAGGGCAAGUCUGGUGUCAGCCGCCGCGGUAAUACCAGCUCUCCGAGUGGUAGGGAUGAUUAUUGGGCCUAAAGCGUUCGUAGCCGGCCUUCCAAGUCUUUCGUUAAAUCCAGCGAUUCAAUCGUUGGACUGCGGGAGAUACUGUUAGGCUAGGGGGCGGGAGAAGCCGACGGUAUUCUUGGGGUAGGGGUAAAAUCCUAUAAUCCCAGGAAGACCACCAGUGGCGUAGGCGGUCGGCUAGCACGCGCUCGACGGUGAGGGACGAAAGCUGGGGGAGCAAACCGGAUUAGAUACCCGGGUAGUCCCAGCUGUAAACGAUGCGGGCUAGGUGUUGAAGCGGCUACGAGCCGCUUCAGUGCCGCAGGGAAGCCAUUAAGCCCGCCGCCUGGGGAGUACGGCCGCAAGGCUGAAACUUAAAGGAAUUGGCGGGGGAGCAC
rnacentral:rRNA from 1 species